rnacentral:rRNA from 1 species
UACGUAGGGUGCAAGCGUUGUCCGGAAUUAUUGGGCGUAAAGAGCUCGUAGGCGGUUUGUCGCGUCUGCUGUGAAAACUCGGGGCUUAACCCCGGGCCUGCAGUGGGUACGGGCAGACUAGAGUGCGGUAGGGGAGACUGGAAUUCCUGGUGUAGCGGUGAAAUGCGCAGAUAUCGGGAGGAACACCAGUGGCGAAGGCGGCUCUCUGGGCAAUGACCGACGCUGAGGCGCGAAGGCGUGGGAAGCAAACAGG